AUUGAACGCUGGCGGCAUGCCUAACACAUGCAAGUCGAACGGCAGCACGGGUGCUUGCACCUGUUGCCGAGUGGCGAACGGGGGAGUAAUACAACGGAACAUGUCCUGUAGUGGGGGAUAGCCCGGCGAAAGCCGGAUUAACACCGCAUACGAUCUACGGAUGAAAGCGGGGGACCUUGGUGCCUGGCGCUUUAGGGUUGGCCAAAGGCGGAUUAGCUAGUUGGUGGGGUAAAGGCCUACCAAGGCGACGAUCAGUAGCUGGUCUGAGAGGACGAUCAGCCACACUGGGACUGAGACACGGCCCAGACUCCUACGGGAGGCAGCAGUGGGGAAUUUUGGACAAUGGGCGAAAGCCUGAUCCAGCAAUGCCGCGUGUGUGAAGAAGGCCUUCGGGUUGUAAAGCACUUUUGUCCGGAAAGAAAUCCUUGGCCCUAAUACGGUCGGGGGAUGACGGUACCGGAAGAAUAAGCACCGGCUAACUACGUG
rnacentral:rRNA from 1 species